rnacentral:rRNA from 1 species
AUUGAACGCUGGCGGCAGGCCUAACACAUGCAAGUCGAGCGGUAGCACAGAGAGCUUGCUCUCGGGUGACGAGCGGCGGACGGGUGAGUAAUGUCUGGGAAACUGCCUGAUGGAGGGGGAUAACUACUGGAAACGGUAGCUAAUACCGCAUAACGUCGCAAGACCAAAGAGGGGGACCUUCGGGCCUCUUGCCAUCAGAUGUGCCCGGAUGGGAUUAGCUAGUAGGUGGGGUAACGGCUCACCUAGGCGACGAUCCCUAGGUGGUCUGAGAGGAUGAGCAGCGACACUGGAACUGAGACACGGUCCAGACUCCUACGGGAGGCAGCAGUGGGGAAUAUUGCACAAGGGGCGCAAGCCUGAUGCAGCCAUGCCGCGUGUAUGAAGAAGGCCUUCGGGUUGUAAAGUACUUUCAGCGGGGAGGAAGGCGAUAAGGUUAAUAACCUUGUCGAUUGACGUUACCCGCAGAAGAAGCACCGGCUAACUCCGUGCCAGCAGCCGCCGUAA